UACGAAGGGGGCUAGCGUUGCUCGGAAUUACUGGGCGUAAAGAGCUCGUAGGCGGUUUGUCGCGUCUGCUGUGAAAUCUGGGGCUCAACCCCAGCCUGCAGUGGGUACGGGCAGACUAGAGUGCGGUAGGGGAGAUUGGAAUUCCUGGUGUAGCGGUGGAAUGCGCAGAUAUCAGGAGGAACACCGAUGGCGAAGGCAGGUCUCUGGGCCACUACUGACGCUGAGAAGCGAAAGCAUGGGGAGCGAACAGG
rnacentral:rRNA from 1 species